rnacentral:rRNA from 1 species
AUUGAACGCUGGCGGCAGGCUUAACACAUGCAAGUCGAGCGGGGUGAUGGUGCUUGCACUAUCACUUAGCGGCGGACGGGUGAGUAAUGCUUAGGAAUCUGCCUAUUAGUGGGGGACAACAUCUCGAAAGGGAUGCUAAUACCGCAUACGUCCUACGGGAGAAAGCAGGGGACCACUUGUACCCUUGCGCUAAUAGAUGAGCCUAAGUCGGAUUAGCUAGUUGGUGGGGUAAAGGCCUACCAAGGCGACGAUCUGUAGCGGGUCUGAGAGGAUGAUCCGCCACACUGGGACUGAGACACGGCCCAGACUCCUACGGGAGGCAGCUGGGGGGAAUAUUGGACAAUGGGGGGAACCCUGAUCCAGCCAUGCCGCGUGUGUGAAGAAGGCUUUAUGGUUGUAAAGCACUUUAAGCGAGGAGGAGGCUCUUUUGGUUAAUACCCAAGAUGAGUGGACGUUACUCGCAGAAUAAGCACCGGCUAACUCUGUGCCAGCCGCCGCGGUAA